rnacentral:ncRNA from 2 species
GGGUGUUCCGAGGGGUGCUCCGUCAGGGAGCUGAGAUACCGCAAGCUCGCAAUCCGAAGACGGAUUGCAGGACCGCGGUGACCCUUUGAACCUGAUCCGGGUCAUGCCGGCGAAGGGACAGGGAUGUUUCAGAAUA